GACGAACGCUGGCGGCGUGCUUAACACAUGCAAGUCGAACGGAAAGGCCCCUUUUGGGGUACUCGAGUGGCGAACGGGUGAGUAACACGUGAGUAACCUGCCCUUGACUUCGGGAUAACUUCAGGAAACUGGGGCUAAUACCGUAUAGGAAUCCUUGCUGCAUGGUGGGGGUUGGAAAGCUUCGGCGGUUUUGGAUGGACUCGCGGCUUAUCAGCUUGUUGGUGGGGUAGUUGCUUACCAAGGCUUUGACGGGUAGCCGGCCUGAGAGGGCGACCGGCCACAUUGGGACUGAGAUACGGCCCAGACUCCUACGGGAGGCAGCAGUGGGGAAUAUUGCACAAUGGGCGGAAGCCUGAUGAAGCAACGCCGCGUGCGGGAUGACGGCCUUCGGGUUGUAAACCGCUUUCAGCAGGGGCGAAGCUUGUGGUGACGGUACCUGCAGAAGAAGCACCGGCUAACUACGUG
rnacentral:rRNA from 1 species